AUACCGAGGGUGCAAGCGUUAUUCGGAAUUACUGGGCGUAAAGGGCGCGCAGGCGGCUCUUUAAGUCAGGCGUGAAAGCCCGAGGCUAAACUUCGGAAGUGCGUCUGAAACUAAGGGGCUUGAGUACGGGAGAGGGAAGUGGAAUUCCUGGUGUAGAGGUGAAAUUCGUAGAUAUCAGGAGGAACACCGGUGGCGAAGGCGACUUCCUGGACCGAUACUGACGCUGAGGCGCGAAAGCGUGGGGAGCAAACAGGAUUAGAUACCCGUGUAGUCC
rnacentral:rRNA from 1 species